rnacentral:rRNA from 2 species
UACGUGCCAGCAGCCGCGGUAAUACGUAGGUGGCAAGCGUUGUCCGGAAUUAUUGGGCGUAAAGCGCGCGCAGGCGGUUUCUUAAGUCUGAUGUGAAAUCUUGCGGCUCAACCGCAAGCGGCCAUUGGAAACUGGGAGACUUGAGUGCAGAAGAGGAGAGUGGAAUUCCACGUGUAGCGGUGAAAUGCGUAGAGAUGUGGAGGAACACCAGUGGCGAAGGCGACUCUCUGGUCUGUAACUGACGCUGAGGCGCGAAAGCGUGGGGAGCGAACAGGAUUAGAUACCCUGGUAGUCCACGCCGUAAACGAUGAGUGCUAAGUGUUAGAGGGUUUCCGCCCUUUAGUGCUGCAGCUAACGCAUUAAGCACUCCGCCUGGGGAGUACGGCCGCAAGGCUGAAACUCAAAGGAAUUGACGGGGGCCCGCACAAGCGGUGGAGCAUGUGGUUUAAUUCGAAGCAACGCGAAGAACCUUACCAGGUCUUGACAUCCUCUUGACCUCCCUAGAGAUAGGGAUUUCCCUUCGGGGACARGAGUGACAGGUGGUGCAUGGUUGUCGUCAGCUCGUGUCGUGAGAUGUUGGGUUAAGUCCCGCAACGAGCGCAACCCUUGACCUUAGUUGCCAGCAUUCAGUUGGGCACUCUAAGGUGACUGCCGGUGACAAACCGGAGGAAGGUGGGGAUGACGUCAAAUCAUCAUGCCCCUUAUGACCUGGGCUACACACGUGCUACAAUGGAUGGUACAAAGGGCUGCAAGACCGCGAGGUUUAGCCAAUCCCAUAAAACCAUUCUCAGUUCGGAUUGUAGGCUGCAACUCGCCUACAUGAAGCCGGAAUCGCUAGUAAUCGCGAUCAGCAG